CGUAGGGGGCGAGCGUUGUCCGGAUUUACUGGGCGUAAAGCGCGUGUAGGCGGCGAUUUAAGUGGAGUGUGAAAGCCCGGGGCUCAACCCCGGAGUGCCGCUUCAGACUGGAUCGCUUGAGGCUGGAAGAGGGGAGUGGAAUUCCUGGUGUAGCGGUGAAAUGCGUAGAGAUCAGGAGGAACACCCGUGGCGAAGGCGGCUCCCUGGUCCGGUUCUGACGCUGAGACGCGAAAGCGCGGGGAGCGAACGGGAUUAGAUACCCCGGUAGUCCGCGCCGUAAACGAUGGUCACUAGGUGUGCGUGGUAUCGACCCCACGCGUGCCGGCGCUAACGCAUUAAGUGACCCGCCUGGGGAGUACGGCCGCAAGGUUG
rnacentral:rRNA from 1 species